rnacentral:rRNA from 1 species
UACAGAGGGGGCAAGCGUUGUUCGGAAUUACUGGGCGUAAAGGGCGCGUAGGCGGCCUUCUAAGUCGAACGUGAAAUCCCCGGGCUCAACCCGGGAACUGCGUCCGAUACUGGAAGGCUUGAAUCCGGGAGAGGGAUGCGGAAUUCCUGGUGUAGCGGUGAAAUGCGCAGAUAUCAGGAGGAACACCGGUGGCGAAGGCGGAUCUCUGGGCCAUUACUGACGCUGAGGAGCGAAAGCGUGGGGAGCGAACAGG